ACUGGUGAUUCUAGCGGUGGGGAUACACCUCUUCCCUUUCCGAACAGAGUAGUUAAGCCCGCCAGCGCUGAUGGUACUGCACCUACGGAUGGUGUGGGAGAGUAAGUCAUCACCAGUU
rnacentral:rRNA from 1 species